rnacentral:rRNA from 1 species
UGGGGAAUUUUGGACAAUGGGGGAAACCCUGAUCCAGCCAUCCCGCGUGUGCGAUGAAGGCCUUCGGGUUGUAAAGCACUUUUGGCAGGAAAGAAACGUCGCGGGUUAAUACCCCGCGAAACUGACGGUACCUGCAGAAUAAGCACCGGCUAACUACGUGCCAGCAGCCGCGGUAAUACGUAGGGUGCAAGCGUUAAUCGGAAUUACUGGGCGUAAAGCGUGCGCAGGCGGUUCGGAAAGAAAGAUGUGAAAUCCCAGAGCUUAACUUUGGAACUGCAUUUUUAACUACCGGGCUAGAGUGUGUCAGAGGGAGGUGGAAUUCCGCGUGUAGCGGUGAAAUGCGUAGAUAUGCGGAGGAACACCGAUGGCGAAGGCAGCCUCCUGGGAUAACACUGACGCUCAUGCACGAAAGCGUGGGGAGCAAACAGGAUUAGAUACCCUGGUAGUCCACGCCCUAAACGAUGUCAACUAGCUGUUGGGGCCUUCGGGCCUUGGUAGCGCAGCUAACGCGUGAAGUUGACCGCCUGGGGAGUACGGUCGCAAGAUUAAAACUCAAAUGAAUUGAC